rnacentral:rRNA from 1 species
GAUGAACGCUGGCGGCGUGCCUAAUACAUGCAAGUCGAGCGAAUGGAUUGAGAGCUUGCUCUCAAGAAGUUAGCGGCGGACGGGUGAGUAACACGUGGGUAACCUGCCCAUAAGACUGGGAUAACUCCGGGAAACCGGGGCUAAUACCGGAUAACAUUUUGAACCGCAUGGUUCGAAAUUGAAAGGCGGCUUCGGCUGUCACUUAUGGAUGGACCCGCGUCGCAUUAGCUAGUUGGUGAGGUAACGGCUCACCAAGGCAACGAUGCGUAGCCGACCUGAGAGGGUGAUCGGCCACACUGGGACUGAGACACGGCCCAGACUCCUACGGGAGGCAGCAGUAGGGAAUCUUCCGCAAUGGACGAAAGUCUGACGGAGCAACGCCGCGUGAGUGAUGAAGGCUUUCGGGUCGUAAAACUCUGUUGUUAGGGAAGAACAAGUGCUAGUUGAAUAAGCUGGCACCUUGACGGUACCUAACCAGAAAGCCACGGCUAACUACGUGCCAGCCGCCGCAGUAAGAC